rnacentral:hammerhead_ribozyme from 1 species
AUCAGCUGACGAGUUCAAAAUAGGACCAAACGCGCAUCCUGUAU